AUUCCUUUAGCACUUUCUUAAUUUCUGGCAUAACAAGAUGUUCCAGGUUUAUCUUGUACUUACCCUGCCCCAGCCCUGGGAUCAGCCAUUUCUCUGCAUAUUCUUGGCCCUAUUUAGCAGGGAACAGAUCAGGGAAUAGGUGCUAGGUGUGCUUAUUGCUACUGAGUAUUUUUUGCUUCUUGGCUCUACCAGUGGACAGAACCGGAAAUGCACAGAUCUGUAUCUAUACACACACAUAUAUACAUAUUCAAAUAUACACCAAGACUGCCUGAUAAAAAAAGAUUUCCUUUGAGGAUUAACAGGAGAGAACCUUGAGACCCGAGUGCAAAGGGGAAGGGGGAGAGAGAAUUGUUCCUGCCUAUCCUGGUCAGAACUGUUUUUGUCCUUUCUGCCAGUAUGAAUAGGAAAGGAGAAGUCCUAGCUGUACAGUCUAGAAGGCUUCCAGAUCACCAAUCAAAAGAGAAACAGCAUUAAGACCCUGUGGAGCAGGAGAUGUUGAAUAGCACCCUGAAAUAGUUUAGAAAAGUAACCACAGUUUGGAACUAUAAGAAGGGGAUGAUGGUUUUAAUACAGGUUUCUGCCUUUACAGCUCUGAUAGGAGAAAAUUAUGCUCUCUUUCCUAAGCCUGUUAAAAGACAAGAAAAACGUUGAGAUUUUCCAAAUAAAUGGUCAAUGAAAUGUUAACAGAUAACAUGUAAUGAAUAUAUUUUGAAAAUGCUGGGUUAAAAGAAACUUUCUUUUUUAACUGCGCGAUUCCCAGAGCCUAUAAGUAAUAUGCAUUGUAACUCUGGGGUGGAAGGAGAAUAUAACAGGCAAUAAUUCUCAAACGUGUUUAUCAUUACUUUUUAGGCAAUACUAAUUAUCAUCUUUAAAACUCCAAGAAGCAGUUUGUGUAAAUUAGUUUAAGAGUUUUACAAAAUAGAAAUUAUGAGAAUUGAAAUGAACCGGUCUACAUACAUAAUUCAAGGCAAUGUACCCUUCAUAAGCAACUUCUUAGACCACCUGGCAUUCAAGAUUCAAUUUUAACUUUGCAGAAAUUUACAGUAUAACUAGCCUUUUCUUGUGUAUUGUAGUAUACUAAAAGCCAAUACCAAUUUUUAAAGAAUUAACAUCAAUUUUACACAAUUUCUUCCAGAAAAUAAGAGGGAACACUUCCCAACUUGUUUUAUGAGGCCAGUAUUACCCUGAUACCAAAACCUGACAAGGCAGAGCACACACACACAAACACAAAAGACUACCGGCCAAUAUCUUUCAUGAAUUUAGAUGCAAAACUCCUCAAUAAAAUCCCACCCAACAAUGUAUGAAAAAAAUAAUACACCACAGCCAAGUGGGAUUUAU